UCACAACUCAACUUCCUCAGAGAAGCACACACACUCUCUCUCUUUACCAGAAUGGCUCCCACCUACACAAGUGACUCUGCCAACACCAUGCUCUCUGCUGAAGACAAGCAUAAACUAAGGAAACCAGUUGGGGAGAAGAUGUGUAGAGACCGCAUCAACACCUGCAUAGAGGGAGACCCUGCACUUCCUGUCUUCCAGCUCCAUGAAGGACAUGAUGCUUCAGGACCUCCAGAGAGCUGGCCAGGACGUCUGCCCCUCCUCGCCACUCUCCUCCCAACAUCAACACCACAGCCAGGGCCCAGUGAAGCAGGCCACCAGUGGUCACAAAACAGUGUGGAGGCCCUGGUAGAGACAAACUAUUUAACAAACUGGAUGAGUGUUUACCGUCUUUCAUGCUGUAAGAACUCUCUAUUUCCAAUAGUAAUAUCUACUUAGGUCCUUUAUGAAGGAUAGCGAACAUCAUAUGACAAGCGUUAUAGUUUGUUGUCUCCUUUAUGGAGCUGUCUGUAAAAAAUAAUUUUUCUGUCAUGUGGCAUAUGACUCCUAUGGAGUCGACUCAAGUAUUGAUUUGAGUGUGAUUCUGUGAUGAAUAUAGAAUCAAUAGCAUUCAAAAUGCUAAAUAUUUAUUGGAGAUUCAUUCUCAUGUUUAAGUGUUCUUAAAGGGAAAUCAGAUUGUGUUAACUUUUGUAAAGGAACUGAUUGCACAUAAUGCAUAUUGAAACAUUUGUAUUUUACAUUUUUACAGUGGAUGUGCAUAGACUUUGUAUUUUGACAUUGUUGGUGUUUAACCUAAACUUGAUGCACAAGUGGAUAUCAAACCAAAAUUAACAAUGAUAUUGACCAUGCAUAUUGGCAGGCUGCUAUUGAUUAUUUUAUUGUCUGAAGUCUCUCUCUCUGUCUUUCUCUAUCUCUCUGUCUUUCUCUAUCUCUCUCUCUUUCUCUCUCUCUUUCUCUCUCUCUCUCUCUCUCUCGAUUUCUAUCUGUCUUUCGCCAUAUUUCUCUCUCUGUCUCUGUCACAUUCUGACCUUUAUUUCCUUCUUGCCUGUCCGGCGUUGCCGGAGUCUCCCUCCUGUCCGGCGCUGCCGGAGUCUCCCUCCUGUCCGGCGCUGCCGGAGUCUCCUUCCUGUCCGGCGCUGCCGGAGUCACCCUCCUGUCCGGCGCUGCCGGAGUCUCCCGUCAGCCCAGAGGCGCCAGAGCCCAUCAGCCCAGAGGCGCCAGAGCCCGUCAGCCCAGAGCCCGUCAGCCCAGAGCUGCCAGAGCCCCUGCCCCUCUGUCCCGAGCUGCCAGAGCCCCCGGGUACUGUCACGUUCUGACCUUUAUUUCCUUUGUUUUGUAUUCAUUAUUUAGUAUGGUCAGGGCGUGAGUUGGGGUGGGCAGUCUGUUUGAUUUUCUAUGAUUUGGGGAUUUCUAUGUUUCGGCCUAGUAUGGUUCUCAAUCAGAGGCAGGUGUCAUUAGUUGUCUCUGAUUGAGAAUCAUACUUAGGUGGCCUGGGUUGCACUGUUUGUUUGUGGGUGAUUGUCUAUGUUAGUUGCUUGUGUCAGCACAGUCCUUAUGAUAGCUUCACAGUCUUUAUUUGUUUAUUGUUUUUGUAUUCAGUGCUCAGUUCUUUCUUUAAUUAAACAUUCAUCAUGAACACAUACCACACCACAUUUUGGUCCUCUGAUCCUUCUCGCCUCUCCUCUUCAGAUGAAGAGGAGGAAGAUCGUGACAGUCUCUCAUACUGUGCCACACAUAAAUCAUGUAUUCUAAAUCUUCUUCAAUCUGUCUUCAUGGGUGUUUUAUUAUUUAUUAAUUUGCAUGUGUUGACAAUAUGUUGACAUUGCUGGUAUGACACCCCGAAUAAGAGAGCAUUAAAUGCAUAAUAAUAUAUUGUCGCGACUUCCAUCGAAGUCGGUCCCUCUCCUUGUUCGGGUGGCGUUCGGAGGUCAACGUCACCUGCCUUCUAGCCAUCACCGAUCCACUUUUCAUUUUCCAUUUGUUUAGUCUUUGUUUUCUACACACCUAGUUUCAAUUCCCCUCAUUACAUGUUCAUUAUUUAACCCUCUGGUUUCUCCAAUGUUUGUGUAUGUUUGUUUUAUUGUUAGGCUGUGUCUUACGGCUGGUAUUAUUGUUACCGGGUUUUGUUGUUAUGCCUGUUUAUUCGUGGUACCGGUAUUUUUUCCUGCACCAUAGUAUUGUGUUUUGUACGGUUGUUUUCUUGAAUUAAAUACCUUGUCCAUGCAUCUCA